UGGGGAAUAUUAGGCAAUGGGCGAAAGCCUGACCUAGCAACGCCGCGUGAGGGAAGAAGGUCUUCGGAUUGUAAACCUCUGUCGCAGGGGACGAAGAAAGUGACGGUACCCUGUGAGGAAGCCCCGGCUAACUACGUGCCAGCAGCCGCGGUAAUACGUAGGGGGCGAGCGUUGUCCGGAAUUACUGGGCGUAAAGGGUGCGUAGGCGGCGCUUUAAGUUGGAUGUGAAAUCCCCGAGCUUAACUUGGGGUCUGCAUCCAAUACUGGGGCGCUAGAGUGCAGGAGGGGUAAGCGGAAUUCUCAGUGUAGCGGUGAAAUGCGUAGAUAUUGGGAAGAACACCGGUGGCGAAGGCGGCUUACUGGACUGUAACUGACGCUGAUGCACGAAAGCGUGGGGAGCAAACAGG
rnacentral:rRNA from 1 species